AGCAGUGAUGUGGAGCAAAUCCCCAAAAGCAGUCUUAGUUCGGAUUGUAGGCUGCAACCCGCCUACAUGAAGUCGGAAUUGCUAGUAAUCGCGGAUCAGCAUGCCGCGGUGAAUACGUUCCCGGGCCUUGUACACACCGCCCGUCACACCAUGGGAGUUGGUAACACCCGAAGUCAGUAGCCUAACCGCAAGGAGGGCGCUGCCGAAGGUGGGAUCGAUGACUGGGGUGAAGUCGUAACAAGGUAAC
rnacentral:rRNA from 1 species